rnacentral:ncRNA from 1 species
UUCUUAUCUAGAGCAGGCGGAGGGACUGGCCCUAUGAAGCCUCGGCAACCACUGUGUGAUGUAGAUGGUGCUAAUUCCUGCGGCAUUCUAUGUCGAGAGAUGAGGA